GACGAACGCUGGCGGCGUGCUUAACACAUGCAAGUCGAACGGAAAGGCCCUGCUUUUGUGGGGUGCUCGAGUGGCGAACGGGUGAGUAACACGUGAGUAAAACGCCCCUGUCAUUGGGAUAACUUCAGGAAAAAGGGGCUAAUACAGGAUAGGAGCUCUUGCUGCACGGUGGGGGUUGGAAAGAUUCGGCGGUUGGGGAUGGACUCGCGGCUUAUCAGCUUGUUGGUGAGGUAGUGGCUUACAAAGGCUUUGACGGGUAGCCGGCCUGGGAGGGUGACCGGGCACAUGGGGACUGAGAUACGGCCCAGACUCCUACGGGAGGCAGCAGGGGGGAGUAUUGCACAAUGGCCGGAAGCCUGAGGCAGCGACGCCGCGUUCGGGAUGACGGGCUUCGAGUUGUGAACCUCUUUCGCCUGUGACGAGGCGUGAGUGACGGUAAUGAGUAAGAAAGCACCGGCUAACUACGUG
rnacentral:rRNA from 1 species